rnacentral:rRNA from 1 species
CCGAUAGUGAACUAGUACCGUGAGGGAAAGGCGAAAAGAACCCCGGGAGGGGAGUGAAAUAGAUCCUGAAACCGUAUGCUUACAAAAAGUAGGAGCCCGCAAGGGUGACUGCGUACCUUUUGUAUAAUGGGUCAGCGACUUACAUUCAGUGGCAAGGUUAACCGAAUAGGGAAGCCGUAGAGAAAUCGAGUCCGAAUAGGGCGAAUUAGUCGCUGGGUGUAGACCCGAAACCAAGUGAUCUAUCCAUGGGCAGGAUGAAGGUGCCGUAACAGGUACUGGAGGUCCGAACCGACUAAUGUUGCAAAAUUAGCGGAUGACCUGUGGAUAGGGGUGAAAGGCUAAACAAACUUGGAAAUAGCUGGUUCUCUCCGAAAACUAUUUAGGUAGUGCCUCAAGUAUUACCGUCGGGGGUAGAGCACUGUUUUGGCUAGGGGGUCAUGGCGACUUACCAAACCAAUCCUUACUCCGAAUACCGACGAGUACAGCUUGGGAGACAGAGCACCGGGUGCUAACGUCCGGACUCAAGAGGGAAACAACCCAGACCGCCAGCUAAGGUCCCUAAAAUUGGCUAAGUGGGAAACGAAGUGGGAAGGCUAAAACAGUCAGGAUGUUGGCUUAGAAGCAGCCAUCAUUUAAAGAAAGCGUAAUAGCUCACUGAUCGAGUCGUCCUGCGCGGAAGAUGUAACGGGGCUAAGCCAGUUACCGAAGCUGCGGAUUUGCAAUUUAUUGCAAGUGGUAGGAGAGCGUUCUGUAAGCCUGUGAAGGUGCGUUGUAAAGCGUGCUGGAGGUAUCAGAAGUGCGAAUGCUGACAUGAGUAGCGUUAAAGGGGGUGAAAAGCCCCCUCGCCGUAAGCGCAAGGUUUUCUACGCAACGUUCAUCGGCGUAGAGUGAGUCGGCCCCUAAGGCGAGGCAGAGAUGCGUAGUUGAUGGGAAACAGGUAAAUAUUCCUGUACCGAUGUGUAGUGCGAUGUGGGGACGGAGAAGGUUAGCUCAGCAGACUGUUGGAUAUGUCUGUUCAAGCCUGUAGUCGUGCCUGGUAGGUAAAUCCGCCGGGCUUAGAUGAGGGGUGAUAACGAGGAUGCUUGCAUCCGAAGUGAGUGAUACCCUGCUUCCAGGAAAAGCCACUAAGCUUCAGCUACACACGACCGUACCGCAAACCGACACUGGUGCGCGAGAUGAGUAUUCUAAGGCGCUUGAGAGAACUCAGGAGAAGGAACUCGGCAAAUUGACACCGUAACUUCGGAAGAAGGUGUGCCUUUAGUAUGUGAACCUGUACAAGGGGAGCAGAAUGAGGCCUCAGAGAAUCGGUGGCUGCGACUGUUUAAUAAAAACACAGCACUCUGCAAACACGAAAGUGGACGUAUAGGGUGUGACGCCUGCCCGGUGCUGGAAGAUUAAAUGAUGGGGUGCAAGCUCUUGAUUGAAGUCCCAGUAAACGGCGGCCGUAACUAUAACGGUCCUAAGGUAGCGAAAUUCCUUGUCGGGUAAGUUCCGACCUGCACGAAUGGCGUAACGAUGGCCACACUGUCUCCUCCUGAGACUCAGCGAAGUUGAAAUGUUUGUGAUGAUGCAAUCUCCCCGCGGAAAGACGGAAAGACCCCAUGAACCUUUACUGUAGCUUUGUAUUGGAUUUUGAACGGAUCUGUGUAGGAUAGGUGGGAGGCUUUGAAGCCGGGACGCUAGUCUCGGUGGAGCCAACGUUGAAAUACCACCCUGGUGUGUUUGAGGUUCUAACCUAGGUCCAUUAUCUGGAUCGGGGACAGUGCAUGGUAGGCAGUUUGACUGGGGCGGUCUCCUCCCAAAGCGUAACGGAGGAGUUCGAAGGUACGCUAGUUACGGUCGGACAUCGUGAUGAUAGUGCAAUGGCAUAAGCGUGCUUAACUGCGAGACUGACAAGUCGAGCAGAUACGAAAGUAGGACAUAGUGAUCCGGUGGUUCUGUAUGGAAGGGCCAUCGCUCAACGGAUAAAAGGUACUCUGGGGAUAACAGGCUGAUACCGCCCAAGAGUUCAUAUCGACGGCGGUGUUUGGCACCUCGAUGUCGGCUCAUCUCAUCCUGGGGCUGUAGCCGGUCCCAAGGGUAUGGCUGUUCGCCAUUUAAAGAGGUACGUGAGCUGGGUUUAAAACGUCGUGAGACAGUUUGGUCCCUAUCUUCCGUGGGCGCUGCAGAUUUGAGGAAGCCUGCUCCUAGUACGAGAGGACCGGAGUGGACACACCUCUGGUGUAUCGGUUGUCACGCCAGUGGCAUUGCCGAGUAGCUAUGUGUGGAAGAGAUAACCGCUGAAAGCAUCUAAGCGGGAAACUCGUUUCAAGAUGAGAUCUGCCGGGGCCUUGAGCCCCCUAAAGAGUCGUUCAAGACCAGGACGUUGAUAGGUCAGGUGUGGAAGCGCAGUAAUGCGUUAAGCUAACUGAUACUAAUUGCUCGUGCGACUUGACCCUAUAACUUUG